UAUAUAUAUAUAUAUAUAUAUCAACAGUUCAACAACCAGCGGCAGCGCCGGCAGGUCAAGCGAAAACGACGAAUAUUUAAUACAAAAAACGACCAAUUCAAACCAGACCAAGAACAUGGCCAUUUCAAACUGAUUCCCACUGAACCCAUAUAAAUUUCAAAAUCCUAACCCAAGAGACUCAGGAUUUUGAAAUAGCCAUUUACCAAGAAGAAAAUGGCCUCCUCUGUCAGAAGGCAAUUGCAAUUGCAGGGUAGUCCAAGGCCUGCACCGCUUAUGUAAGCAUGAACUCAUCAAAGAUCAAGAAACAACUGCUUCCCAAUCGUCAGAAAAGCAAUCCUGUUGUCAUUUAUCUGAAACCACCUGAUACCAUUCACGUUGCACCUGAGGAGUUCAUGGGCCUCGUUCAGUCUAAAGCCAGUAUUCCACUCGUACUUUCUUCAGAUAACAAAAGAUUUUAUAAUUGGAGGGAAUACCCAAUCAGUAAAUGA
rnacentral:misc_RNA from 1 species